rnacentral:rRNA from 1 species
UGGCGGCGUGGAUAAGACAUGCAAGUCGAACGAGAAACUUACUUAGCUUGCUUUGAAAGUUUCUAGUGGCGGACGGGUGAGUAACACGUGAGUUACCUGCCCCGAAGUGGGGGAUAGCCUUCCGAAAGGGAGAUUAAUACCCCAUGUGAUCGCAAGAUUAAAGGCGGCCAUCUUUGAUGGCUGUCGCUUCGGGAUGGGCUCGCGGCCUAUCAGCUAGUUGGUGAGGUAACUGCUUACCAAGGCGAUGACGGGUAGCUGGUCUGAGAGGACGACCAGUCACACUGGAACUGAGACACGGUCCAGACACCUACGGGUGGCAGCAGUCGAGAAUCAUUCGCAAUGGGCGAAAGCCUGACGGUGCGACGCCGCGUGGAGGAUGAAGGCCCUAGGGUCGUAAACUCCUGUCAUCAGGGAGUAAUGGCUCACGUAGUAACUGCCGUGAGCAGUGAUAGUACCUGAAGAGGAAGGGACGGCAAACUUCGUGCCAGCAGCCGCGGUAAUACGAAGGUCUCAAGCGUUGUUCGGAUUUACUGGGCGUAAAGCGUCUGUAGGCGGAGUGGUAAGUCAGAUGUGAAAUCCCGGGGCUCAACCCCGGAACUGCAUCCGAUACUGCCACCCUAGAGGGUCGGAGGGGAGUCUGGAAUUCUCGGUGUAGCAGUGAAAUGCGUAGAUAUCGAGAGGAACACUAGUGGCGAAAGCGAGACUCUGGACGACACCUGACGCUGAGAGACGAAGGCCAGGGUAGCGAAAAGGAUUAGAUACCCUUGUAGUCCUGGCAGUAAACGGUGCACGCUUGGUGUGGGGGAGGUUCGACCCUCUCCGUGCCGGAGCUAACGCGUUAAGCGUGCCCGCCUGGGGAGUACGGUCGCAAGAUUAAAACUCAAAGAAAUUGACGGGGACCCGCACAAGCGGUGGAGCAUGUGGCUUAAUUCGAUGCAACGCGAAGAACCUUACCAGCCCUUGACAUCCUGUGAACUUUUUAGAGAUAAAUUGGUGCCUUCGGGAACACAGUGACAGGUGCUGCAUGGCUGUCGUCAGCUCGUGUCGUGAGAUGUUGGGUUAAGUCCCGCAACGAGCGCAACCCUCGUCUUUAGUUGCCAGCAUUAAGGUGGGCACUCUAGAGAGACUGCCGGUGACAAACCGGAGGAAGGUGAGGAUAACGUCAAGUCAGCAUGCCCCUUACGCCCUGGGCUACACACGUACUACAAUGGUUGGGACAAAGGGCAGCGAACCCGCGAGGGAGAGCGAAUCUCAUCAAACCCAGCCUCAGUUCAGAUUGCUCUCUGCAACUCGAGAGCAUGAAGGAGGAAUCGCUAGUAAUCGCAGGUCAGCAUACUGCGGUGAAUUCGUUCCCGGGCCUUGUACACACCGCCCGUCACACCAUGGAAGCUGGUCACGCCCGAAGUAGUUACCCUAACUUUCGAGAGGGGGACUCCUAAGGCAGGGCUAGUGACUGGGGUGAAGUCGUAACAA